AAGACCAGGAAUUUCAAUAAACUUUCUCUGUAGCUAGAUCAAGGACUAGAGAUCCUCACUCCAACAGCAAACAACCUGCAAGAACUAAAAGGAUUUCUACCCAGCUAUCUCCAGUUUACCUGUUCCAUUAAGAUAGGAUGCCUGUUUAACUGAGUUCUAGGUGUAAGUUGCAUGAAUGUUGAAUUUAGAAACUUUGCUACAAAGAAAGUUAGUGGCCUUUUCAGGUUUUUUUUAGAAAUGAGUCAAAUCUUGUUUAGGAGACAGUUUAUGUAGGACUAGAUGUACAGUGCCAACAGACCUGGACCAUCAGAGCCUGGAGAGGUUUGGAUUGAAGAAGCAAGGUGGUUUACUAGACAACUUUAAACUCUGGGUUUACAUGUAUAUAAAUACACUUGCCACAAAAGAUCACUCUUCUUUGAUUCUCACCAGCGUCCUGCAAAAAGUAAAGGUAGCAAGUCACUCUGCACAGGAUAAAAGGAAAAAUACCUAAGAAAUAUUAACCAAAUACAAAGGCCAGGGUUGUAACAGAAGCACAUCAAAAUUAUCUGACACAAUUGUAAGACCUAACUUUCCAUAUGCAUCUCUUUGCAGCAGUCUCCCAUCCUUCCCUCCCAGCUGGUGAAAAGUUGCAAGAUUUAUAUUGCAAGCCCUCUGCUACUCCAGGAAAUAAAGAUGAUGAGUGUCGACAGUUGCUAGGAACACAAGAUAUGCCAGUACAUGCAAGUGCUCAAGCACCGUGAGAGUACCAUUUGAAAAUAAAAUAAAAUAACUAAGACAACUCAAAACACAAAGUUCAGUUGACAACCACUCAACCACUCACCAGAGGGAGCCCAUUUUCCCCAAAAGCCAACAUUUGUAGUAUAGCCAACAACCUUCUGGGGCCUCAGAACCACCCCGUUAAGAACUCUACAGCUGCUGGGAGGAGUAGCUGCAAACUAAGGGAGCCACACGGGCAUAAUGCGAGCAGGAAAGGAGAGAGCAUCAAGGAUUUUUGUAGCUGCUUGAUUAGUACUUUCUGCAGCACAAAAUGUUCUUUAUUGAAGGAGUUGCUACAUUAGACUUUCAAACUGAAUGUGUGUGAGAGAAACCAGUCAUGUAUCUACAGCAUGUCACUGCCAGGUUUGCAAUAGUGCAGCCACACAUUUUUUGCUACUCAUCAGACUAAUUCGAUAGCAAAAUCCAAGCAACAAAAAUUUGAUCUGGUCUGUAGCUUCAGAAACACUCUGGAACACAGUCAACUAAUUUUUAUUUAAAGGUGUGGUUUCAGAACUCAGGAUGGGUCUAUCAACUGUUUUUGGAAAGGUUCCACAUUAAUGGGGACUCACUGGUCCAUCAUGGAUACUGAAUCUCAACACAGCACUGGCUAGACACCAGCCUACCAGAACUUCAGUCUACAGCAGCACCAAGUUAAUCUGAAGCUGAAGCAAGAAGAUGAAACAAAGAUAUUCACAUACUCGAUUACGUACGGGAAUGAGUAUGGAAUCUGAGAAAUCCCUUUAUCAGGUGCACACAGCUUUUUGGCUCAGAAGAGCUCUUAGUGUUAAGCACACACAAAAUGGUAAAAUAUUCA